GAUGAACGCUGGCGGCGUGCCUAAUACAUGCAAGUCGAGCGAACAGACGAGGAGCUUGCUCCUCUGACGUUAGCGGCGGACGGGUGAGUAACACGUGGAUAACCUACCUAUAAGACUGGGAUAACUUCGGGAAACCGGAGCUAAUACCGGAUAAUAUAUUGAACCGCAUGGUUCAAUAGUGAAAGACGGUUUUGCUGUCACUUAUAGAUGGAUCCGCGCCGCAUUAGCUAGUUGGUAAGGUAACGGCUUACCAAGGCAACGAUGCGUAGCCGACCUGAGAGAGUGAUCGGCCACACUGGAACUGAGACACGGUCCAGACUCCUACGGGAGGCAGCAGUAGGGAAUCUUCCGCAAUGGGCGAAAGCCUGACGGAGCAACGCCGCGUGAGCGAUGAAGGUCUUCGGAUCGUAAAACUCUGUUAUUAGGGAAGAACAAAUGUGUAAGUAACUAUGCACGUCUUGACGGUACCUAAUCAGAAAGCCACGGCUAACUACGUG
rnacentral:rRNA from 1 species